rnacentral:misc_RNA from 1 species
UCCGACUUACGUGGCAGUCCCACUAGAGUCCCCGGCAUGACCCGCUGGCAACUAGUGGCAAGGGUUUCGCUCGUUAAAGGACUUAACCUGACAUCUCACGACACGAGCUGACGACAGCCAUGCAACACCUGCACUACGUCUGAAUAAACACCCCCAACUUUCGAAGGGGUUAACGUAGAUGUCUAACCUUGGUAAGGUUCUUCGCGUUGCCUCGAAUUAAACCACAUGCUCCACCGCUUGUGUGAGCCCCCGUCAAUUCCUUUGAGUUUUACCCUUGCGAGCAUACUCCCCAGGCGGCACACUUAACGCUUUCGCUUGGGGAGAGAGGACUUAGGCGUCUCCCCUCCCUAGUGUGCAUCGUUUACGGCCGGGACUAC